CUGACGAGGAGCUAAAUGCUCAUACUCGUACCGGCGUUGCCACGUCUGUCGUCUACUUUUUAAGCCACAGAACAUUUGAAAACUGUCAACUGUUCAUCUCUGACAGCCUGUCAACUCAUUUCACAUGUCUUAUUUAUUUUUAUUUUGUUAUCAGAGACCGUUUAUUAUUUACAUUUUUCAUUAAUAUUCUUUGUGAAAUUGUGGUAAUAAUUAUAUCAGAAAAUCUGUAUUGAAUAGAUGACCAAUGCAACACAAAUAACAGGGUUGCAAUCACUUACAACAUGAUUAACAACAUAAAGUUUUCAGCGGAACGUUAAAUUAAACUGAUAUAUCUACAUAUAACAACAUAAGGGUCCUGUAACGUUCCUCGAACAACUGAAGAACAUUAGAAUCAUUACUUGGAAGACUGAACCUGGUCGAAAGACCCUCUCGGUCAAAACAAAGAUUUGGACCAUUAUAGGCCCCUCCAACCUUCUAGCCUCACAAAAAUUGUGGAGACAAGCAAAAGCGUCAUUACAAGUAAAACUCCUCACUUGACGAAUAUUUUCGUUGUUUCAAGGUAUAAAAGAGUGGUAUUUAACUUCAUCUAGAGCUCUAAGAAUAUAUAUUUGGCAAUCUGUAAUAGAUAAAUAGAUAUAUGAAAAUGAAUACAAAGAGUACCCAAUUUAUUGAAAUUUUGAAAACAAAUCAAGAAGUGGCGGAUUUUAUUCCCAGAAGAUAAGCCAGAUGUACGAAAGCAUUCAGAGCGUAGCAGCCUACAAAUACUUUAUAAUUAGCCUUUUACCUAGGUUACUCUAUAAAAUAUUUGGAACAUAAUAUUCAAGGAAA